rnacentral:rRNA from 1 species
UACAGGGGGUGCAAACGUUGCUCGGAAUCAUUGGGCGUAAAGCGCACGUAGGCGGUUCGUUAUGUCGGAUGUGAAAGCCCUUGGCUUAACCGAGGAAGUGCAUUCGAUACGGGCAGGCUAGAGUUCGGUAGGGGAGACUGGAAUUCCUGGAUGUAGCGGUGAAAUGCGCAGAUAUCAGGAGGAACACCAGUAGCGAAGGCGGCACUCUGGGCCGGUACUGACGCUGAGGAGCGAAAGGCGUGGGGAGCGAACAGG